GACGAACGUUGGCGGCGUGCUUAAUACACGCAAGUCAACUGAAGCAGUGGUAGCAAUAUCGCUGUGGAGGUGGCGCACGGGUGAGUAACACGUAGGUAAUCUGCCUUCAGGUCUGGCAUAACUCCGGGAAACCGGGGCUAAUAGCAGAUGAUGCAGCGGCUCGACAUCGAGACAGUUGUUAAAGCUAUGGCGCCUGAAGAUGAGCCUGCGUCUGAUUAGCUAGUUGGCGGGGUAACGGCCCACCAAGGCAACGAUCAGUAGCUGGUCUGAGAGGAUGAUCAGCAACAAUGGAACUGAGACGCGGUCCAGACUCCUACGGGGGGCAGCAGUAAGGAAUAUUGCUCAAUGGGAGAAAUCCUGAAGCAGCGACGCCGCGUAAGGGACGAAGGGCUUUUGCUUGUAAACCUCUGUAGUAAGAGAAAAAAAUCCCAAUCUUUGGGACAUGAUGGUAUCUCAAAAGUAAGCCCCGGCUAACUACGUG
rnacentral:rRNA from 1 species